ACUCCUGCGGGAGGCAGCAGUGGGGAAUAUUGCACAAUGGGCGCAAGCCUGAUGCAGCGACGCCGCGUGGGGGAUGAAGGCCUUCGGGUUGUAAACUCCUUUCGCUAGGGACGAAGCUUUUUUGUGACGGUACCUAGAUAAGAAGCACCGGCUAACUACGUGCCAGCAGCCGCGGUAAUACGUAGGGUGCGAGCGUUGUCCGGAAUUACUGGGCGUAAAGGGCUCGUAGGUGGUUUGUCGCGUCGUCUGUGAAAUUCUGGGGCUUAACUCCGGGCGUGCAGGCGAUACGGGCAUAACUUGAGUGCUGUAGGGGUAACUGGAAUUCCUGGUGUAGCGGUGAAAUGCGCAGAUAUCAGGAGGAACACCGAUGGCGAAGGCAGGUUACUGGGCAGUUACUGACGCUGAGGAGCGAAAGCAUGGGUAGCGAACAGGAUUAGAUACCCCAGUAGUCCCAUG
rnacentral:rRNA from 1 species